rnacentral:ncRNA from 1 species
UCUAAUGGAAGCGAAGAAACGCCCUGCCUAAACGGGCACCAUGGUGGGGCGUGGAGCGAGUGGUGCGACCGACCUCGGA